AUUUUUGCAAUGAUGAAGAGUAGUAGACAAAGGAUGCACUUAAGAGAGCUGAUGGUUGGUGCGAAUCAGUGUGACAUUUUGCUGAAUGGACUUCUGAGCAACCAAACCGAACAAAGUAGGUUAUGGCGGAGGACUCACCGAUAAAAGAGUCGUGAGCAAUAAGAGCGUUUGUUUCUAGCAAACGAAUAAAGGUGGCACCACGGGUUUCUCGUCCUUUUU
rfam:Bacillus galactosidilyticus strain PL133 scaffold000122, whole genome shotgun sequence.